UACAGAGGGUGCAAGCGUUGUUCGGAAUUAUUGGGCGUAAAGCGCGUGUAGGCGGCAUUGCAAGUCGGGUGUGAAAGCCCUCAGCUCAACUGAGGAAGUGCGCCCGAAACUGCAGUGCUUGAGUACCGGAGAGGAUGGUGGAAUUCCCCAAGUAGAGGUGAAAAUUCGUAGAUAUGGGGAGGAACACCGGAUGGCGAAGGCGACCAUCUGGACGGAGUACUGACGCUGAGACGCGAAAGCGUGGGUAGCAAACGAGG
rnacentral:rRNA from 1 species